rnacentral:lncRNA from 1 species
CUGGGCUUAUGAAUGCCAUUCACUCAUUUGUUUUGUUCUGUUUAUUCUACAGGUGUUCAUUUAGCACCUUCUAUGUACCAGGCAGUAUUGUGGGUACUAGGGACUCAGUACCAAACAAAAUAGACAAAAAAUAGUCCCUUCUCUCAGGAUUUCUAAUUUUUGUGGAGAGAGACACAUUAAGUAAAAUCUAUGUCGGAUGGUUGUGAAGUGGUCAGAAUAAGUGCCAAGAAGUGUCAGACAAAGGCUGUCCUCUUAAACAGGAGGUCAGAGAAAGUCUUACUGAGAAGGGUAUUUCAGCCAAAGCCUCAAGGAGUUGGAAGAUCAAGUCAUAUAAUCACAAGUUAAGAGCAUCUCAGCCCAAGGGAUGAGCAAGUUGAGAGGCCCCAAGGAGGGAGAGUAUGUUCAAGAGAAGAGAAGGGAGAGUAUGUUCAAGGAGAGAAGAAUGAGACAAGCACGGGUCUGUGGAGAGGAGGAAGGCAGGAAGAGAGAAGGAUAUCAAAAUCCCCUGAAAUCUUGGUGGUGCAUAUCCAGCACUGGUGAAUGGAGGCUCUGCUCCCAGCAUUGGAGGAGCACACGGAUACCGGCUAUCUCAUCUUUUGGUCGAAGGGUAAAUGCCAUUCCUGUUGCUGUAUUUUUACCGGAGACAAAAGUCAAAGUCUUGAAUUAAGAAAAAAAAUUAACUCAAAAAAAAAAAAAAAAGAAAAAAAUUAACUCUAUUGUUAAG